GACGAACGCUGGCGGCGUGCCUAAUACAUGCAAGUCGAGCGGGGAAUUUAAGAGAGCUUGCUCUCUUAAAUUUCUAGCGGCGGACGGGUGAGUAACACGUGGGAAACCUGCCCUUAAGACUGGGAUAACAUCGGGAAACCGAUGCUAAUACCGGAUAGGAGCUAGAGAGGCAUCUCUUUAGUUGGAAAGUUGGCUUCGGCUAACACUUAAGGAUGGUCCCGCGGCGCAUUAGCUAGUUGGUGGGGUAGAGGCCUACCAAGGCGACGAUGCGUAGCCGACCUGGGGGGGUGAUCGGCCACACUGGGACUGAGACACGGCCCAGACUCCUACGGGAGGCAGCAGUAGGGAAUCUUCCACAAUGGACGAAAGUCUGAUGGAGCAACGCCGCGUGAACGAUGAAGGCCUUCGGGUCGUAAAGUUCUGUUGUAAGGGAAGAACAAGUGCCGCAGGCAAUGGCGGCACCUUGACGGUACCUUGCGAGAAAGCCACGGCUAACUACGUGCCAGCCGCCGCCGUAAUAC
rnacentral:rRNA from 1 species